GCUGGUCCUGGUGUACGCGGCACCGACACCGGCCGCCUGUGCGGUGGCGGUGAGGGCGAGCGCGCCGCCGCCGGCGAGGGCCGCGGCCACGAGGCCGCCU
rnacentral:tRNA from 1 species